CUGGUAGCUGCCGAACUCGUUCUACUGUGUACCAACUGCUGGCUUCUUGUGUUCCGUCUGUCGACCAUACCUGUACAAUGACUUCCAGCGUGUAUCAGUACGAAUUCCUGUGCAGCUGCAGUCGUCGUCUUGUAUCGUAUGCUAUCUUGUUGGUGGCGAUCUGCUCGCAAAUGGCGGACAGCUCGAUGGCGGUAUCAGUCGGCAAGCAUGACGGUGAAUUUCUGGAGAUCCACUCCGGAGAGACUCUGCACAACUUGCAGCUGGGUCACGGGAAAUCCUUGGCGCUUCGACUGGUUGGCUUAGACAAGCAGCGUUCAUACACGAUCCGGAUCUCCUACCCGGCUACGACGCCCACGGAGUUUGUGGUGGAUGUGUUUGCUGGACUCCAGCUGCACCCGACCGUUGUGAGGCCGCAGCGUGCCCUGAUGAAUGUGGAGCAGAUGCGCUUCUCUCCCGACUCGCUGCCCAGGAACGGCGAUGGGAAUGGCAUCUACGCGCGCGUGACUGCGUGGCGUACUGGCGUGGCGCGGGACCCGGAACUACUCGCGCAACCAGUCGCGUUCAAUCUGGUUCUGGAGAAGCUCUACAUGGGCCAGCCAUUACACGUGUGGGCCUUUGUUGCGUUUGCCCUGUGUGGCAUUCUGUUGGUAACACUCAGUGUUCCUACUGUUCACGUCAUGAUACGCUACGCUGUCGAUACCUUCCACCCACUGCCGGUGGUGCUCAAACUACGGACCCAGUAGCGACAGUCUAGCCAUGCACUCGAGCACAGAAGGCACAGUCUAAGCAGAAUGCACUUGGCAACAGGUUUGGAUCGACAGCCACCAAAUGCCCACGCUGUGACCUGAGCGUCUAUCAUGCUGAGAGAAUAGUUGUCACAGGAAGGGACUACCACCGUGCUUGUUUCCGCUGUAAGACAUGCAAGCGUAACCUCGAGUCGGGCAGCCACGCUGAACAUGAGGAGGAAGUCUAUUGCAAAGGUUGCCAUGCUAAGGAGUUUGGUCCAAAAGGUUGCGGCUUCGGUAUUGGCGCGGGUGCUUUACGCACAUCCUAGACAAGCAUGCAGACGGACGCCAGGCACGCUGCAGCGAAUUGUAUUACAUCUGCUCACCAGCUUCCAUGCCUGCCUGCAUGCACUGCUGUAUCAGUGUCUGGCCCCGCUGUGCACGGCACUGUCUGCGAGCGGUGUUUGUGACUGCUGCAUUCUAUGCCACGUCUGCAUGGAACUUUUAAAGCGGUCAUGACAACACACAGCUUCAGAGCCUGUGUAUUUUUUAUCAGAUUGCACGUACCUACAGGAAAAGUAUGUAUUUGACAGAACGAUGUUCACCGCUACUUUCCACCUGAAUUCAUCUUGUGUACUACUUGCACAUAAUAGAAUGUACCUGCUAUCUGUGUGAGAACAUUUCGCUCAAGAGAUACCUCAAAAGUUAGAAUGCACGAUAUCUUUGAUAGCACAAGAUAGUGUAUUUGAGAAGAAGUAGCGAUGACCCG